CUGGGACUCCUGUGUCCUGGGCCAGGCUUGGGCGCCAGCCUGGGAGCCUCCAGCCCAUCUAGCAGGGAGCUGCAAAGCCAGCCCGCAUCAGAGCAGCCUCAGCCACGGCCGGUGAGGGAGGUGCAGAUGUUCAGGUCAUGCGGGAAAUCUAAUCGCAUCAGGAACGACAGGUCUGACUGAUGAACACCUGAUGAACAUCUAAUGACAAAGGCUCAAGUUACCCACUAAGCAACUGCGACCUUCUUGGUGCCAGCAAAGCUCUGCAUGGCUGGUCUUGAGACAAUGGCCUGAGGUAAUGAUCAGGCAGAUGAUACCAGACUGAUAACCAUGGACUAGAACUGGUAACCAUGGAAAUGCCACAACCCUGCCUUUGUUCCCUUCCCUAUAUAACUCAGAGACUGCUGUGGCCAUUUUGAAGACAGAUCUUAGGUUGCUCAACCUCAGUCCUACCUGUGUGGCCACACUGUGAAAAAGCUCUUUCCUGCCUUCCUGACCACUUAUUUCUCCAGUUGGCUUCCUGAGUGGAUGGCCACGCUGAGCUCACUGGGACCCCAGGAGCCAGAGCCUGCUCCCUAACUCCAGUAACACAACCUCCAAGAUCUCAGUGGUCUCCAAUUAGAUUGUGUCCCUCUCACCCAGACCUGCAACACUUGACUCUUCUGUUCUCAAGAAAAAGAGCAGGGAGGACAAUAACAGAUUUACGUGGAAUAGUCAUUUUGUAAAUGAUUAUUUGCAUAUCUGUCUCACCAGGAUGAGCCUGCUGGCCUUGUGUAUUCUCUACCCUCCCUUCAUCCAGGAAGCAGAGGGGUCCAGGCUGCCUCCCCUAAACACCAAUAUGCCCAUCUCAAGGGCCAUUGAGGUAAACUAGGAGUUAUAGAACUGUGCUAAAUUUUAUCUAUAAAGGUCUUUACCAAAUAUUGACUCAGAAAGAAAGGACUCCACCUGCCCGCGUAAUUAAGGGAAGGCACCCUGGAGGAGAUGGCACUUGAGUUGUAUGUUGAAGGGUGACAACAGUUCUUAGCAUUUAAAGAUUUCUCUGUGUUAACAUUUUACUAUUGAUUUAUAGCUUUUCAUGUAUACUGAAAAUUCUACACCACCCAGCUUGUAAAAUUCUAUUCAUUAAGUUCUGGGGUCAAGUUCUAGCUGUUGAAAAGAUGACAAAAGAAUAGAAGAUAUGGAGCCCACAGUUUUCUUGACUGAGGGCAUACUGACAGGUGCAACAGUUAGAUAAGCUUUCAGGGUGGCUGGUUUGCUGAGUGCUAGACUAGGGACUGUGACUGUCUCUCUGCUCAGUCCCUCGCUCUUGGAUACUGUGCUUGGCAUUCAGUCAGUUCUCAGGAAAGUACGGAGGAACAAUGAGUGCUUAGCACUGGAAGAUCUGAAUUGGGUCUGGAGGGAAGGGCUGUUUCUGGAUAUGACAGAAGGAAAGGAUACACUUUUGCAUUACUUCAUCAGUUAUGGUUCAUAUCUAAAAUGUUCCCCAAAGCCUCAUGCAUUCCCAGGCAAGGCUUUUGGGAGGGAAUGGACCAUGGGUGUAUGAUACUGGGUGACACUGGAUCAGUCCACUGAUUGGAUCGGCAUGGCUGAAUGGAUUUACUGAAGACAGGAGACCCACCCUAGGGGUGAGUGGCACCAAGCAAUAGGCUGGUAGCCUGCAUGGAAUAAAAAGGGAAAGGGAGGCUCGCUUCUGCUGCUGCUUUUUUCUGCUGCCCCACCUUGGAGCCAGCUGACUCUGGACUGAAACCUCUACAAAUUGUGAG
rnacentral:lncRNA from 1 species